rnacentral:rRNA from 1 species
ACGCUCGACACCUACGGGAGGCAGCAGUGGGGAAUAUUGCACAAUGGGGGAAACCCUGAUGCAGCGACGCCGCGUGAAGGAAGAAGUAUCUCGGUAUGUAAACUUCUAUCAGCAGGGAANAAAUGACGGUACCUGACUAAGAAGCCCCGGCUAACUACGUACCAGCAGCCGCGGUAAUCUGAGCGGGCUGGCAAGGC